UAACAAGGAUUCCCCUAGUAACUGCGAGUGAAGCGGGAAGAGCUCAAAUUUAAAAUCUGRCGGCCUCUGGCCGUCCGAGUUGUAACCUGAAGGGGCGUUUUCCGCGUCGGACCGUGUACAAGUCUCCUGGAACGGAGCGUCAUAGAGGGUGAGAAUCCCGUCCAUGACACGGACGCCCGAUGCUUUGUGAUACGCCCCCGAAGAGUCGCGUUGUUUGGGAAUGCAGCGCAAAAUGGGUGGUAAAUUCCAUCUAAAGCUAAAUAUUGGCGAGAGACCGAUAGCGAACAAGUACCGUGAGGGAAAGAUGAAAAGCACUUUGGAAAGAGAGUUAAACAGUACGUGAAAUUGUUGAAAGGGAAACGCUUGAAGUCAGUCGCGUCCUGUGGAACUCAGCCUUGCUUCGGCCUGGUGUACUUUCCGCUGGACGGGUCAACAUCAAUUUUGGCCGGUGGACAAGGGCGGGGGGAAUGUAGCGUCGCUUCGGCGACGUGUUAUAGCCCCUCGUCGGAUGCACCGGCCGGGAUUGAGGACCGCAGCGCGCCCUUGUGGCCGGGGGUUCGCCCCACGUACCGCGCUUAGGAUGUUGGCAUAAUGGCUUUAAGCGACCCGUCUUGAAACACGGACCAAGGAGUCUAACAUGCUUGCGAGUGUUCGGGUGGAAAACCCUUGCGCGCAAUGAAAGUGAAAGUUGGGAGCCUCCGCGAGGGGGUGCACCGACGCCCGGCCCUGACGUUCUCUGACGGUGCUGCGGUAGAGCAGGUAUGUUGGGACCCGAAAGAUGGUGAACUAUGCCUGAAUAGGGCGAAGCCAGAGGAAACUCUGGUGGAGGCUCGUAGCGAUUCUGACGUGCAAAUCGAUCGUCAAAUUUGGG
rnacentral:rRNA from 1 species